GACAGAGGAGCCAAGCGUUGUCCGGAUUGACUGGGCGUAAAGCGCACGCAGGCGGCCGUGCACGUGGGGUGUGAAAGCGCUCGGCUUAACUGAGCGAUGCCACCUCAUACGGCAGGGCUCGAGCCCGUGAGAGGUCCACGGAAUUGCCGGUGUAGUGGUGAAAUGCGUAGAGAUCGGCAGGAACACCCAGGGGGGAAACCAGUGGACUGGCACGGUGCUGACGCUCAGGUGCGAAAGCGUGGGGAGCGAACCGG
rnacentral:rRNA from 1 species